rnacentral:lncRNA from 1 species
UUUUUUUACAAAACCAAGCAAUGGUUUGGAUAUAUCUACCCGUUGAACGUGUUCGAGAUACAAUUAGUCGGUGAUCAAUGACGUGAUUAGCGGUUGUUAAUGACGAACAAGGCGACUGUUUUUUUUUAAGUAUUACUAGUAUAUAGGGAUGUCGCACGCAUUUCUCUUCCCGCGCCGGUGUGAGACAAUCUCUUCGUCAUGUAUAAUUUUGCAAUCCCACUGCUCGUUCAGGUAUUACUAGUUAACAAUAUAAUUGUCUGUUUAUUUACGGUCCAUUUUAGUUUUUUUUUACGCUGUCAUCCACACAACUCGAUCUAGCACGACAGGAGAGAACAAUACAGGAGAACAACAUAGGCACGCAAGUCUCCGUGGACGGUAAGCAACGGCACUAAUCUCACCGCCUUUCUCAAUUCACGCCCUACGCUGAAUCGGUGUACGUCU